UUUCAACCCAGUGUUUUAAUAGUUGAACAAGUUUUUUUCUUACUAUCCUUCAUCCACUCAAUCAUAGCUCUGCUGGGAUUAACAGUUAUUUAAUAUUGUUUUCUUGGUGCGCUGACCUUCUACCAGAAGUUUUGGACAGUCUGACGAAGCCAGGGAGUGUGGAGGUACAGGUGUUGCUUUUGGCAACACCAAAGUUUUUUAGUCAUAAAGUUCAGGGGAAUAAGUGGCCUUUCACUGUUUUUACACCCACCUCGGCUUCCCUUUUGUCUCAGAGGGCAGACUUCACUGAGAAAUAAGCAGUUGAGAGCAGAGGAGUAGAAGCUACACUCAGCUAGUUCAGUAGCUAAAGUGUGUGAUCAUGGAGAUGGAUGUCAGGGCAUGUGAAUUGAGAGGACUUCUACUGCAUGGUGGCUCCAUCCCACUGUGCCAUUAGCCGCUCCCCAGGGAGAGAAAGGCUUGGAAUCUGGAGAGACAGGCCCAGAUUAGCUCAUAAAUCACUGCCCUGGGGACUGAGGCAAAACUGUGACAUCAUCACUCUGAGACCUUCUGUCCUGUGAUCCAGCUGACGGUGCAGUCCAGCAACUGUCGCUUUCAGCUGAUAUGAGUUGACAGCAGACUGUGGUACAACACAUUCCUCCCAAAACUGCCAGGGUUAUUUUACAUCUGUAUCACUUUAGUAGGUUUGUCAUUUCAGUGACUUAAUCUGUUUAUUUUGUCUAUGAAAUGGCAACGUUUAUUUUUCCAUGUAGAA